rnacentral:rRNA from 1 species
GAACCUUUACUAUAGCUUGACACUGAACAUUGAGCCUUGAUGUGUAGGAUAGGUGGGAGGCUUUGAAGUGUGGACGCCAGUCUGCAUGGAGCCGGCCUUGAAAUACCACCCUUUAAUGUUUGAUGUUCUAACGUGGACCCGUGAUCCGGGUUGCGGACAGUGUCUGGUGGGUAGUUUGACUGGGGCGGUCUCCUCCUAAAGAGUAACGGAGGAGCACGAAGGUUGGCUAAUCCUGGUCGGACAUCAGGAGGUUAGUGCAAUGGCAUAAGCCAGCUUGACUGCGAGCGUGACGGCGCGAGCAGGUGCGAAAGCAGGUCAUAGUGAUCCGGUGGUUCUGAAUGGAAGGGCCAUCGCUCAACGGAUAAAAGGUACUCCGGGGAUAACAGGCUGAUACCGCCCAAGAGUUCAUAUCGACGGCGGUGUUUGGCACCUCGAUGUCGGCUCAUCACAUCCUGGGGCUGAAGUAGGUCCCAAGGGUAUGGCUGUUCGCCAUUUAAAGUGGUACGCGAGCUGGGUUUAGAACGUCGUGAGACAGUUCGGUCCCUAUCUGCCGUGGGCGCUGGAGAACUGAGGGGGGCUGCUCCUAGUACGAGAGGACCGGAGUGGACGCAUCACUGGUGUUCGGGUUGUCAUGCCAAUGGCACUGCCCGGUAGCUAAAUGCGGAAGAGAUAAGUGCUGAAAGCAUCUAAGCACGAAACUUGCCCCGA